UAUGUAACAAAUUAUUUUAACACUCCUUUCUCCUCUCUAAAGUGUGUUGUCAUCCUACUUUUGAGGGCAAUUAAAAGAAUACUAUGCAUCCUGAAAGCAGUCCUCAAAAGGGAGCAAAGGCAAUGGGAUAACCAGGGCACUUCUGAAGCAAGACACUUGAUGAAGGACAGUAGUCAUGUAGAACACCCAGCAGAAAAAAAGAAAAGUGGUCUUGUAAUGGGCAUGUGUGGGAAUCCCUUACUAAAGGCGAAAGAUGGCAUCUUCUCUAAAAUCUAAGCCAAGACAUGAAGAAGUUCCAGAAUAUAAGAAGGCACUUCCAUUUCUGGAAAAUGAAGGUGUGAUGGGCUAAAGAAUUCCUCAAUUCAUUCUUCCACAAAGGCUGGUGCACAACUACUCAUCAGCUCUGAGGAGUUCUAAAGGCACAGGCUGCUACACAUGCUUCCCUCCACUUCCCAAAUCAAAGAGCCAGCUGAAGUCCAUUGUAGGUCUGAAUGGUUCUCUAGGACACCUGUGCCCCAGGGCUCCAGGCUGCUUUGAUCUUAUGACACUUCCAUCUCAACAAAUGGCUC